GGAAUACCCUGCCGUGUGAGGUGUCAGUGUGCCCCUGCUGGGGGGUGCCUCCCAGUUAGGCUGCUCGGGGGUCAGGGGUCAGGGACCCACUUGAGGAGGCAGUCUGCCCGUUCUCAGAUCUCCAGCUGCGUGCUGGGAGAACCACUGCUCUCUUCAAAGCUGUCAGACAGGGACACUUAAGUCUGCAGAGGUUACUGCUGCCUUUUUGUUUGUCUGUGCCCUGCCCCCAGAGGUGGAGCCUACAGAGGCAGGCAGGCCUCCUUGAGUUGUGGUGGGCUCCACCCAGUUCGAGCUUCCCGGCUGCUUUGUUUACCUAAGCAAGCCUGGGCAAUGGCGGGCGCCCCUCCCCCAGCCUCGUUGCCGCCUUGCAGUUUGAUCUCAGACUGCUGUGCUAGCAAUCAGCGAGAUUCCGUGGGCGUAGGACCCUCUGAGCCAGGUGUGGGAUAUAGUCUCGUGGUGCGCCGUUUCUUAAGCCGGUCUGAAAAGCGCAAUAUUCGGGUGGGAGUGACCCGAUUUUCCAGGUGCGUCCGUCACCCCUUUCUUUGACUUGGAAAGGGAACUCCCUGACCCCUUGCGCUUCCCAGGUGAGGCAAUGCCUCGCCCUGCUUCGGCUCCCGCACGGUGCGCACACACACUGGCCUGCGCCCACUGUCUGGCACUCCCUAGUGAGAUGAACCCGGUACCUCAGAUGGAAAUGCAGAAAUCACCCGUCUUCUGCGUCGCUCACGCUGGGAGCUGUAGACCGGAGCUGUUCCUAUUCGGCCAUCUUGGCUCAAGACCCCAGUUUUGAUACAUUUAUAAGCCUCAACAUGAAAUCAUGGAUGAAAGUGACAAAGAAGGCAAGAGGUGCAAAGAGAAAAAGAGACUGAGUUAGAACCCAGAUAUAGCUGACUCUUGGUGAACAGAAGGGGCUGCUUGCUGGCUUGCUUAGGGAGGGGACCCCAUGAAAAGCUCACCACAGGUGACAUUUAAAAAUAUUGUGCAACUAAUAAACUUGGCAACCACAAAGAAACACCGAUACUAUGUCAUAUAUGGGCAAAUGAUUAGGAGUUAUAGAAACCUUUAAAAAAAACACAGAAAUGGGAGGAAAUCAACUUGCAGAUGUCACUUGUCUCCAGAUUUUCCUGUUUUAUCAAAUUUAGAACAGCACUUUUCAACAGAAGCAAAGCACUAGCUACGAAUGCUGGUCACAUAGGGAAUUACAAACUCCUAGCAGUCACAGUUUAGAAAGUAAAAAGGAACAAGG
rnacentral:lncRNA from 1 species